rnacentral:piRNA from 1 species
UGCCUUCCUAAGAGAUGAAGAUGGGAACAU